rnacentral:lncRNA from 1 species
UUUUGUCAGUGGAACAUAUAUGGAAUCUAUGAAGAGCUUUUACCAGACAUUGUUUCAAUUCAGACCCUUGUUUAAGAGGGGUCUGAAAGCUCGGAUGGUGACUAGGAGAGGUAAUAAGGCCAGAUGCUUCUUACUUUAUGGAUCCAGCGAAAACGUGCCAAGGGAUUUAUCAUCCAAAUAGGUUAGGUUAUACCUUUAGAUAAUAUACUACAUAUUUUAUAAAAUAAUUAAACUUGAACUCAUCAUAAAAGAAAUUAUCUUUUUUUUUUCUUUGAGAAAUCUUUUAAGAAUGCAAAUGAAAAACUCCUUUUAAUGGCUUGGAAUUAGCUUUUCUAUAAACAUGCUCAAAAAAACCGUUGUCCUUCCCUUCCGCAGCUGCACCAUCUUCUUUUCGUCUUCAUCUUUUCUCGAGUUUCUGCUACUGCUGUCUAUUUUGGAUUGUCCUUCUCAUACCCCCUUAAAACUAUUUUUGCCUUUGGUCCAUCCCUCGCCUUCCUCAUCAUCUACGCUCUCCCUGACCCCAUCUCGCCUCCCAUUCCGUCUUUCUCUUGUCCCCAUCCGCCCUUUGGCAUCUCAGCCGCUGAUAUAUCUACCCUCGAGCCAUUUACGGCCUUUUCGCAACCAG